CACUCUGGGCUAAAGAGAAACAGAGCUCAAAAGCCAGCUCAUGCUUAAAUACACUUGGAAUCCACAAGAACAGAAGGGUUUUCAAAGUUAUCCUGAAGAAUUCGGUCCAGGAGGUUUUCUUGAAUCCUCCCACUGACCAGCCACCACCCCACCUGAGAAGGGAGAGCACUUGCUACAGAGAGAGAAGCAUCGCCUCCCCUGUGGCAGCCUGGCAACCCCCAGGAGUGCUCAGCAAAGAGAUCAGCAUCGAUGGACUCAGAUUUUCCUCCACUGAGCGGCAUGCCUUCAGGAGGUAUCAAGCCUGUGGUUCUCCUUAAUUAUUCCCUUGCAAAAGAUCCAGCUGACAAGGUUCCCCUACCCAGACACUUCUCUCCAUCUAUCACAGCCACAGCCUCGUGCCACAAAUACCCAAGCUUGCUACUUAAUACCUAGGUAACAUUACGAAUGUUCCAGGUUUGAAAUUCUGCAGUUCGGCAUAGAGGCCAGCAGACAUCCAGUAAUUUUUCAGCAUAUGCACCUUCUGACACUUUCUUGAAGAACAGCACUACAGAUCUAGAGAAAGAUGGUUGCAAAAGUGUAAACUGUGAAGUCCAUAAUGCAGUUGUUUCAAAAGUGAGCACAAAAGGAAUCAACUCACAAUGAAGCCAGCUGCAAAAUAAGAUUAGGAGAAUUUCUGCUGUGGAUAAAACUGGACUUGAUGACCUCUGACACUUUCUGGGCACUUCUAAAAUGGAAACAGGCAGAAGCCGCAGGACUUGUACACAAAGCACACACAUCUUUCCUACAGAUCCUGUGCAAAAUGUGCUUCACUAAUGUGACUUUUUCCGCUGCCAACUACAUAUGGAUCUAUUUUAAUGUGUUGUCACUGUGUAAUAAGAAAGCUGUCUUAACAACAAAAUCCAGCAAUUACUGAGGAUGGGGAUUCUGAAGUCAAAACACACCCAGAUGAGAAACACUUUCUAGAAAACAUCAUGUAUUUCUCUAACUCAUACCCAGGGUACCAAGAUUAAAGCUGUGAGUCUAGAAGGCCAAUGAAUAUACAAGCAAUGAGAAAAUGAGAAGGAAAUAAAAAAGUGAUGAUAUACCCAGGAGUCUCCCCCUCCCCCCUCGUCU